GAUGAAGAACGCAGCGAAAUGCGAUACUUGGUGUGAAUUGCAGAAUCCCGUGAACCAUCGAGUCUUUGAACGCAAGUUGCGCCCGAAGCCAUUAGGCCGAGGGCACGUCUGCCUGGGCGUCACACAACGUUGCCCCCCCAAACCUCGACUUCCAAGAGGACGGGGGGCGGAUGAUGGCCUCCCGUGCGCCUCGCCGCGCGGUUGGCAUAAAUGCCAAGUCCUCGGCGACGCACGCCACGACAAUCGGUGGUUGCGAAACCUCGGUUGCCCGUCGUGUGCGGUCGUCGCGCAUCGAGGGCUCGAAAAAAUUGCCGGGUUCCGGCUCGGCUUUCAACGCGACCCCAGGUCAGGCGGGGUUACCCGCUGAAUUUAAGCAUAUCAAUAAGCGGAGGA
rnacentral:misc_RNA from 1 species